CUUCAUCGAAAAUGAGUUCACUGUAGAUGUAUGGGUUUAUUUCUGGCUUCUCUAUUCUGUUCUGCUGGUCUAUGUGUCUGUUUUUAUGCCAGUACCAUGCUGUUUUGGUUACUAUAGCUCUGUAGUAUAAAUUGAAAUCAGGUAAUGUGAUUCCUCCAGUUUUGUUCUUUUCGUGUAGAAUAGCUUUGGCUAUUCUGGGUCUUUUGUGGUUCUGUAUAAAUUUUAGGAUUGUUUUUUCUAUUUCUGUGAAGAAUGUCAUUGUUAUUUUGAUAGAGAUUGCACUGAAUCUGUAGAUUGCUUUGGAUAGUAUGGACAUUUUACCAAUAUUGGUCCUUCAUAUCCAUGAACAUGGAAUCUCUUUCCAAUUUUAAGGUCCUUUUCAAUUUUUUCAUCAAUAUUUGAUAGUUUUCAUUGUAGAAACCUCUUACUUCUUUGAUUAAUUCCUAGGUAUUUGUUUUAUUUGCAGCUAUUGUAAAUGGGAUUGCUCCAUUGUUUUUUUCUUACAUUGUUCACUCUUGGCAUAUAAAAAUGCUACUGAUUUUUGUAUGUUGAUUUUUUAUCCUGCAACUUUACUGAAUUUGUUCAUCAGUUUUUGAAAUAGAUUUGUGAGGGCAGUGCAUGCAUCUUUGAAGAGCAUUAGAUUAAGAAUCUUGUAAAACACUGAAUACCACAAAAAUGAACAAGAGGAAAAUUAACAAAUCUAUAAUUUUUAAUGCUAAAUGCUGUAAUUCAUGAUAAAGAUAUAACAAGAAUAUUUAUGCAUUAGAUACUACAGAAACCAACUUUAUGAAACAAAAUCUACAUGAGCUGCAAGGAGACUUAGAAACAUGUUAAUAAUAGAAUAUUUUAAUAUAUUAACUCUCAGCACAAAACAAGUAGACACAAAAAGUAAGGAGAUAGCCAAUCCAAACAAUAUACGUAAUAACAUAUAUCUUUUAGAGUUAUGUUGAACCCUAUACCUGAAAAUAGAGAAUGCAACUUUUCAAGAACCUGUGUAACACAAAUACUGGUCAUAUAUUAGAUCACAAAGAAAAUACUACUAAUUUUCAUAAUGUAGAAAUAUUACAAACAACACUCCCUGAUCACAAUAUGAUAAAACUAGAAAAUACUUACAAAAAUAAAAUCAGAAAGGUCUUUCCACCUGGAAAUAUUAAAAUCUUCUACUAUUAAACAACUCUGGGUGAAAGAAGAAAUACAGCUGAAACUAUAGAAUAUUCAAACAAUGACAAUGAAAACAACUACAUAUCAGAAUCUAUGGGAUACAUAAUAACAGCCACCAGAGGAAAAUCCAUAGCAGCUGUUAAGAAAAAAAAAAUUACCCAUGACAUUUGUUAAAACAGUAAAGCAGAGUUUAUUCAGGACUAUUGCAAUAGUUACAGGGACUACUACGGUGAGGUUUUGAAGUACAGGAGACUGAUUGGGCCCAGCUCCAAAAAGAAUAAGGAAAAGGGGGAAUUUAUAGUCAAAGAGCAGAGUUGGGAGUAAGGGAGGUCAGUAGAUAGAAAAUUACUAAGAGAGUAGAGUAAUCCUUGCUAAACUGACCUAAAAAGAAUCUUGCUAACAGCAGGCCAAGGUAAUCAGAUAUUACCUGGGAGAUGGCGGAGAAUGAGGAAUUUGAUCAUAUAUUUAAGGGUAAUCAAAUAUUGAGGGUGGGGGAUUCUAGCUAAGCUGAGUUAGCAGGAUUCUUGCUGAGGACAUACCUAAAGAUAGUGCCUACUUGAAAAAACAGCUGAAAGGAAUCUAACUAGAAUUUUAUCACGGAAAGAAUCUUUGCACAGUAAACACUUUUAAUCAGUAAAGAUAAAUGAUUGAAGAUAAAUGAAUUAAAAUUUCAGGUUAAAAAAAAAAACAAAAACAGAACAAUAAAAUAAGCCAAGAUAAAGCACAAGGAAGAGACCGGGCACAGUGGCUCACGCCUGUAAUCCCAAAACUUUGGGAGGCUGAGGCAGGCAGAGCACUUGAGGUCAGGAGUUUGAAACCAGCCUGGCCAACGUGGCAAAACUCCAUCCUACUAAAAGUACAAAAAUUAGCCAGGUGUGGUGGUGGGCGCCUGUAAUCCCACCCAUUUGGGAGGCUGAGACAUGAGAAUCACUUGAACCCGGGAGGUGGAGGUUGCAGUGAGCUGAGGUCACGCCAUACACUCCAGCCUAGGCAACAGAGCGAGACUCUGCCUCAAAAAAAAAAAAAAAAAAAAAAAAGAAGCACAAGGAAGUAACUAAUACAGAUAAAAGCAGAAAUUAAUGAGGAAGGGAAUAGAAAAUUACAGUAGACCUAAUUAAUAAAUUAAAAUCUUGGGUUUUUGAAAGAACUAAGAAAAUAUACAAGCCACCAACUAAUGUGAUCCAGAAAAAAAAAAAGAAAUCACAAAUCUGCAAAAUAAGAAAUGACAAAGGGAAAAUAACUACUGAAAGAAGAAAUUUUAAAAAUUAUAAGAUACUAUUUUGUUGUAUACCUCUAUGGAAAUAAAUUUGAAAAACUAGAUGGAGUGGAUAAUUUCCUAGAGAAAUACAGAUUACCAAAUUACAAUUAGCUUAAACAAACCACUUUCCAUAGAAAAAACAUAGAGAAAGUAAGAAUUGCUCCUUACACAAAAACUAUCAAGCCCACAUGGUUUUCCAGGGAAGGCUUGGUAAGCCUUCAAAGAGCAGAUAGUCCCAGUGCUCUAUAAAUUGUUCCAGAGCAUUAAAAAACAAGCAAAACAUCCCAAUUCCCUUUAUAAAGCAAGUGGCACUGGUACCUAAACCUGAAGUACAUCAUAUAUACCUAAAAUCCAUAUCUAUCUAUCCUAGAACCGAUGUUUUAUUUAACUGGGAAAGACAGGAAGCAUUUCCAUUAAGAUCAGAAAAGAGACCAGCAUGCCUGCUAUCUCGAUUACUAUUCGAUACUUAAUUAGGGAUACUGGUCAAUGCAGUUAGACAAGAGAAAUUACUUAGGAGCAUAAGAAUGGAUAAAGAAGAAGUAAAAAUAUUUCUACAUUCCAGUGAAAGACAGUAUCCCUGGAUGACCCUAAAGUAUAAGAAAACUAACUUAAACAUUUAAAAAUAUAAUAAGGUAGCAGAAUAUAAAAUUAACAUACAAAAAUCAACAGCCUUCAUAUACACAAACAACCAGUUAGACAAAUACUACUUGUGACGACAACAAAGAAAACUAAAUAUUUAAUAAGCUUAGCGUGAGAUGUGUGAAAACUAUGUGUGGAGAAUUUUUUAAAUACUUUCAAAAGGCACCAAAGUAGACUUGAACAAAUAGACAUUGCCUGUCCUUGGAUAAUAAACUAAAUAUUAAAUUGUCAGUUCUUCCUAGUUUAAUUUAAAAGUUCAAUAAAAUCUCAAUAAAAAUAACAGUAAGCAUUUUUAUGGUAUCAGACAAGUUAAAACUACAACUUAGCCAGGCGUGGUGGCUCACACAUGUAAUCCCAGCAUUUUGGGAGGCCAAGGCAGGCGGAUCACCUGAGGUCAGGAGUUCAGGACCAGCCUGGCCAACAUAGUAAGACCUCGUCUCUACUAAAAAUACAAAAAUUAGCCAGACAUGGGCUGGGCGUGGUGGCUCAUGCCUGUAAUCCCAGCACUUUGGGAGGCCAAGGCAGGUGGAUCACAAGGUUCAGAGAUCGAGACCAUCCUGGCUAACUUGGUGAAACCCCAUCUCUAUUAAAAAUACAAAAAAAAAAAAAUUAGCUGGGCGUGGUGGCAGGUGCCUGUAGUCCCAGCUACUCGGGAGGCUGAGGCAGGAGAAUGGCGUGAACCCAGGAGGCAGAGCUUGCAGUAAGCCAAGAUCGCGCCAUUGCACUCCAGCCUGAGUGACAGAGUGAGACUCCAUCUCAAAAAAAAAAAAAAAAAAAAAAAAAAAUUAGCCAGGCAUGGUGGCAUACACCUGUAGUCCCAGCUACUCAGAAGGCUGAGGCAUGAGAAUCUCUUGAACCUGGGAGACAGAGGUUGCAGUAAGCCGAGAUCAUGCCACUGCACUCCAGCCUGGGUGAGAGAGCAAGACUCCUUCUCAAAAAAAAAAAAAAAAAAAGCUACAACUUAUAUGGAAAAACAAAUAUAAAAAAUUAGCCAGAAGAAUGCAAAAAACAAAAAGCAAAAGAGAGCAAGUAAAUAAUAAUAAGAGAGCAGAUGCUAUAACACACUAUGAAGUCUCUAUAACAAAAAUAGUGUGGUUCUGGCACAUGAAUAUACAAAUAAACCAAUUGAAUACGAUAGAAAGCUCAGAACAGACUUGAGGGCAUUUGGAAAUUCAGAUCUGAUAAAGCUGACACCUCAAAUCAUUAAGGCAAAGAUGGGCUUUUUAAUAGUUAUCCUGGGAGAACUAAGUAACCAUUAGAAAAAGAUAAAAUUAGAUUCAUAUCUCACAUGACAUACAAGAAUAAACUCCAAAUGGAUUAGGAAACUAGACAUAAAAUAUUAAAGCCAGUUGAAACUUAAGUCCCCACAAAAACCUGCACAAAUGUUUACAGCAGCUUUAUUCAUAAUUGCCAAAACUUGAAAGCAACCAAGAAGCCCUUCAGUAGAUGAACAGGUAUAUACACUUUGGUACAUCCAGACAAUAGAAUAUUAUUCAGAACUAAAAGGAAAGCAGCUAUCAUGCCACAAAAAGAUGUGGAAGCAACUUAAAUGCAUAUUACUAAGUAAAAAGCCAAUCUGGGCUGGGUGCGGUGGUUCACGUCUGUAAUCCCAGCACUUUGGGAGGCCGAGGCGGGUGGAUCGCUUGAGGUCAGGAGUUCAAGACCAGCCUGGCCAACAUGGUGAAACCCUGUCUCUACUAAAAAUACAAAAAAAUUACCUGGGCAUGGUAACAGGCACCUGUAAUCCCAGCUACUACAGAGUCUGAGGCAGGAGAAUCGCUUGAACCCAAGAGGCAGAGGUUGCAGUGAGCCAAGAUCAUGCCAUUGCACUUCAGCCUGGGUGACAGAGCGAGAGUCCAUCUCAAAAAAAAAAAAAAGAAAAGAAAAGAAAAGAAAGAAAGAGAGAGAGAGAAAGCAAGAAAAAAGCAGCAGCCAAUCUCAAAAGGCUAUAUACCAUAUGAUUCCAACCAUAUGACAUUCUGGAAAAGGCAAAACUAUGGAGACAGUAAAAAAAAAAGAUUAGUCACUAAUUUUUUUUAAAAAGUAUACACACACACACACACACACACACACACACACACACACACACGAGUAUCCUGAUCAUCUUCACUACCUCUCUACUCUGGUUGAAUACCUCUCCUGUAUACUGCCUGGCAAUAUGCUUCCUUUACUCUUCUUAGAUGGUAUUAUAAUUGUUUACUUCUCUGUGAGAACAGGCAUCACACCAGUCAUGUUCACCAUUUUAGCCCUAGCUCCAGCAGAAUGUAAGAAUAUGGUAGGUACUCAAAAAUUAUCUGUUGAAUGAACACAGUAAUAAGUGAACAAAAUAAAUCUAUCCUCACUCCAGCUGAUGACUGUAUAGCAACAAUUCCUCAAACCAUUCUUUUCUGGAAGGGUCUGAUUUAAGUCUAUGUUGGAAAAACAUAGCCAAGUUCCAAUUAGAAAAGUUUUCCUGAAGGUCAGACUGACCCCAGAGUGAGCAGCUAAUUUUCUAGUGGCCUGUGGGUCAAUCGUACCUUUUAUUACUUUUCCAAACAUACGAAGGAAGCAUUAAACAGCUUGGCUGAGUUUCAUCUGUGAAAAUGGUCCAGCUCUGGCCCCUGGAAUAAAGUAGAACAGAGCCCCAGUUUAACAUUCAGAUCACUGCUGCUAUUUUCCUUCUUUACCUUUAAGAGUUUCUGAAUCCCAUCCACCCUGAGCAGGAACUGUUACACUACAUAUAACUAUAGUUGGAAUGUUCUUUUUUGUUUUUGUUUUUGUUUUUGUUUUCACUUUAUUUAUUCCUUUGAAACAAGUCACUUAAUACAGCAUUUAGAUAUUUAAAGUUAUAUACCUCAUAAAUAAAAUCAAUGCAUCUUGAUGACAAUGGCAAAAUCACAUAAGAGUUGUA
rnacentral:lncRNA from 1 species